rnacentral:rRNA from 1 species
GACGUAGGGUGCAAGCGUUGUCCGGAUUUAUUGGGCGUAAAGAGCUCGUAGGCGGCUUGUUGCGUCGACUGUGAAAACCCGCGGCUUAACUGCGGGCUUGCAGUCGAUACGGGCAGGCUAGAGUGCGGUAGGGGAGAUUGGAAUUCCUGGUGUAGCGGUGGAAUGCGCAGAUAUCAGGAGGAACACCAAUGGCGAAGGCAGAUCUCUGGGCCGUAACUGACGCUGAGGAGCGAAAGCAUGGGGAGCGAACAGG